rnacentral:pre_miRNA from 3 species
AGUAGAAUUGCUGGGUCAAAUGAUAACUCAGUGUUUAACCUUUAGAGUAACUGCCAGACUAUUUUCCAAAGUGGCUAUACCAUUUUAUAUGUCCACCAGCAAU